CGCAACUUUUCCAAAGUGCACUUGACGGCUACAAGGUGGAUCUUUAUUCUGCAUUUUAUUUUGUGCAGCUGAUUGAGACUGAACAAGUACUGCAUUUUGGAACUGAACAGGAUGAAGAUCAUUGUCCUUUCCAUUUGAAAACUGGCCGGAGCUUGUCGGUUUGGUCGGCAUUGCAGCAGAGUCCUUUCUACCCAGAUAAAUCAUCCACACUGCUUAUCAAGAACAUGUACAAUGGUCCUGGCCUUACUUGGGAGCAGGAUGAGGGGCUUGAGGCCUGUUAAUGCUGCCAUGCCUUCAUGUGACUUUUGUAUCAUGAUAAUAACUUUGGAGACCUUACUUUCAUUGAAUCUACGAAUCUGUGUAUUUGUGUGGUGUCACUGCAUAAUGAUUGAAAGCAGCUCAUAGAGUUCCUUAUUAAAAAAUGAAAAUUUAUACUUCAAAAGAUAUACUACCCAUUAAAUGUACUUUGUUGAGUAGGCAUAUCUAACAUAAAAUAAACUCUUCUUUCUAUGUGGCAUGUUGAUGUAUUGAGGAGUCAUGGAUUGGUUUAUCAUUCUUUUCGACAUGAUAUCUUUUUGGAUUGGUAUUUGAUUGCAUACCAUGUGUCUUAGUUCAAUGCUGUAGUUUAGUUCAGUUUUCCUUCUUUUCAUAUAAGGAUUGACACUCUUCUUCUUUGACUUAAGCAAUCAGAUUCAUUGCAAGUUCACUUUGGUGGAGAUUCAGGUUUUCAGCCUUGAUUGUACUGAAUUAAAGAUAUUAUGCAUAGUAUAUCCUUCUUGCUAUCUUUAAACUUGCUAUGGAGUAUCGAUUAGUUUCCUUAGUCUUAUUGACAUCUUCGUUAUAAGCUUCACUUCCUUGUUUAUUUCUUCUUUUCACUUUUGUUGCAUGUAGUCUGAUGAAGUUACCUUUUCUCUUUGGUUUUACUCAGGCGACGCAGGGCAUUACAUAUAUAUAGGAGUGGUCUACUUGGUGAUGAUCAUAACAUCGCCCAAUCUAGAGGUUCAUCAGCUGGAUGAGCUCCCGGAGCAGUGGCGGAGGUUCAAGCUGGCUUGGCUUUAUAAGGAGCUGCCGUCGCAUAAUUCCGGGGCUUUGAUUUGGAUUCUCAAUGCCCAGAAGAAGUGGAUGAGGCAAGAGGACGCCAAGAACUCUGGUACUGUAUGUAUCAUGCUCUUCUGCUGCAGUAUGUGCUACUUGCGAAGCUUCACAAUAACCUUGGAGGUCGUGCAAGUCAGAAUAUAGUGCACAAGAUGCUUGAUAAAAUGGCACAUGAAGGUUUUGUUGAUGUCAAAGGAUAUUGUAUCAACUUUUGAUUCAUGUAUAGCUACUUCAACAUGAUGAAUUUCUACUUGAGCUGAUAGAUAUGACAUACAACAAUUAUCAGCUUUGAUUCAUGCAUGCAUGGGUCUAGCUAGACUAGGAAUGCAUUCUUUGUUUGUUUGAUAGUUUAAUUAUCUAGUUUGGAUGUUUGGUUGUACUUGACAAACGCAACUCAUAUAGUUACACUAAUUAUAUGGAUCAAUGUGGCU